rnacentral:rRNA from 1 species
AUUGAACGCUGGCGGCAGGCCUAACACAUGCAAGUCGAGCGGUAGCACAGAGAGCUUGCUCUCGGGUGACGAGCGGCGGACGGGUGAGUAAUGUCUGGGAAACUGCCUGAUGGAGGGGGAUAACUACUGGAAACGGUAGCUAAUACCGCAUAACGUCGCAAGACCAAAGUGGGGGACCUUCGGGCCUCAUGCCAUCAGAUGUGCCCAGAUGGGAUUAGCUAGUAGGUGGGGUAACGGCUCACCUAGGCGACGAUCCCUAGCUGGUCUGAGAGGAUGACCAGCCACACUGGAACUGAGACACGGUCCAGACUCCUACGGGAGGCAGCAGUGGGGAAUAUUGCACAAUGGGCGCAAGCCUGAUGCAGCCAUGCCGCGUGUGUGAAGAAGGCCUUCGGGUUGUAAAGCACUUUCAGCGGGGAGGAAGGCGGUGAGGUUAAUAACCUCAUCGAUUGACGUUACCCGCAGAAGAAGCACCGGCUAACUCCGUGCCAGCAGCCGCGGUAAUACGGAGGGUGCAAGCGUUAAUCGGAAUUACUGGGCGUAAAGCGCACGCAGGCGGUCUGUCAAGUCGGAUGUGAAAUCCCCGGGCUCAACCUGGGAACUGCAUUCGAAACUGGCAGGCUAGAGUCUUGUAGAGGGGGGUAGAAUUCCAGGUGUAGCGGUGAAAUGCGUAGAGAUCUGGAGGAAUACCGGUGGCGAAGGCGGCCCCCUGGACAAAGACUGACGCUCAGGUGCGAAAGCGUGGGGAGCAAACAGGAUUAGAUACCCUGGUAGUCCACGCCGUAAACGAUGUCGAUUUGGAGGUUGUGCCCUUGAGGCGUGGCUUCCGGAGCUAACGCGUUAAAUCGACCGCCUGGGGAGUACGGCCGCAAGGUUAAAACUCAAAUGAAUUGACGGGGGCCCGCACAAGCGGUGGAGCAUGUGGUUUAAUUCGAUGCAACGCGAAGAACCUUACCUGGUCUUGACAUCCACAGAACUUUCCAGAGAUGGAUUGGUGCCUUCGGGAACUGUGAGACAGGUGCUGCAUGGCUGUCGUCAGCUCGUGUUGUGAAGUGUUGGGUUAGGUCCCGCAACGAGCGCAACCCUUAUCCUUUGUUGCCAGCGGUUCGGCCGGGAACUCAAAGGAGACUGCCAGUGAUAAACUGGAGGAAGGUGGGGAUGACGUCAAGUCAUCAUGGCCCUUACGACCAGGGCUACACACGUGCUACAAUGGCAUAUACAAAGAGAAGCGACCUCGCGAGAGCAAGCGGACCUCAUAAAGUAUGUCGUAGUCCGGAUUGGAGUCUGCAACUCGACUCCAUGAAGUCGGAAUCGCUAGUAAUCGUAGAUCAGAAUGCUACGGUGAAUACGUUCCCGGGCCUUGUACACACCGCCCGUCACACCAUGGGAGUGGGUUGCAAAAGAAGUAGGUAGCUUAACCUUCGGGAGGGCGCUUACCACUUUGUGAUUCAUGACUGGGGUGA